AUUACAGAAGUCUUAACAAUAUCACUGUAAAGGAUAAAUUUCUCAUUCCAUUGAUUGAAGAAUUGUUGGAGGAAUUGGGAGGUGCUCAAAUAUUCUCGAAAAUUGACUUGCAGUCUGGUUAUUGGCAAGUAAGAAUGUGGCCUGAAGAUAUUUUCAAGACUGCCUUCAAAACUCAUGAGGAUCACUAUGAAUUUUUAGUGAUACCUUUUGGGUUAACAAAUGCCCCUUCUACAUUUCAAUCCCUUAUGAAUGAUGUCUUUAAGCCUUUGUUAAGGAAAUUUGUGCUUGUGUUUUUCGAUGACAUCUUGAUUUUCAACAAAACCAAGCAGGAACACUUAAUGCAUUUGCAGGUUGUGUUGCAAUUGAUGAGGGAUAAUCACUUAUAUGCUAAGGAAAGUAAAUAUAGCUUUGGAGUGAAUCAAGUGGAGUACCUUGGUCAUGUGAUAUCCGCAGCUAGUGUGUAAACUGAUCCGAAGAAAGUUAUAGCAAUGCAGUCAUGGCCAAUUCCUCAAAAUGUUAAACAACUAAGGAGCUUUUUGGGGUUAACAGGAUACUACAGAAGGUUUGUACAAAAUUAUGGCAAGAUAGCAUGGUCUUUGACUGAAUUAUUGAAGAAAGACAUUUUUCAGUGGACUAUGGAAGCUCAACAUGCCUUUGGAGUGCUUAAGCAAGCUCUGGUGAAUGCUCCGGUUCUCUCUCUGCCAAAUUUUUCAAAAACUUUUAUUGUGAAAACUGAUGCUUCUAGGGAGGGAAUACGUGCUGUGUCGAUGCAGGAGGGCCACCCUAUUGCCUAUAUUAGUAAGGCAUUAUCAGCAAAAAAUAUGGAUCUUUCAGCAUAUGAGAAGGAGAUGUUGGCUAUACUUUUUGCAGUCAGAGAGUGGGAACAUUAUUUGUUGACCAAGCACUUUGUCAUUAGGACAGAUCAUAGGAGUCUCAAGUUUCUUGUAGAGCAGAGACUCACUACUCCAGCACAACAAGCAUGGUUAACUAAAUUGCAGCAUUUUGACUAUGAAAUUCAAUACAAGAAGGGACUGGAUAAUCAGGCUGCUGAUGCUCUCUCUUGAGUUCAUUCUACUGCUAUUGCUAUCAUUGCCCAUAUAAUUUCUGAUCAGCUCAUGGUGGCUAUCAAAAAUACAUUACAAACUGAUGUGACAUUGAAACAACUGAUUGUAGAAUUGCAGCAAGAUUUUACCUCUCAUCCUCAUUAUACUUGGUAGCAAGAUCAGUUAUGACGACAUGGAAAGCUGGUAGUUGAUAAUUGUGGAGAAUUAAAAUAAAAGUUGUUAGAACUUUAUCAUGACUCUGUAGUUGGAGGCCAUUCUGGAGUUACUGUUACUGACAGGCUGCUUGCUUCAAUCGUAUAUAAGAAGGAUCUUUGAAAGAAUGUUUGAGAAUAUAUUCGAAAUUGCUCUGUGUGUUAGAAAAAUAAGUAUAAAAAUGUGGCAUCCCCUGGUUCUUGGAGCCACUUCCUCAUCCACAAGGAAUAUUCACUGACAUUACCAUGGAUUUUAUUGAUGGACUACCUAAAUCUCAGGGUAGGACAGUUAUCAUGGUUGUUGUGGAUUGUUUGACUAAGUAUGCCUACUUCAUAGGCCUCACCCAUCCUUACACUGCUAAAUCUGUGGCUCAACUCUUUUUGGAUCAUGUCUUCAAACUCCAUGAUCUUCCUAAUACACUUGUUAGUGAUAGAGAUGCCAUUUUCACCAGCCAAUUUUGGUAGAAAUUUUUCAAGCUGUAAGGAGUAUCUUUGAAAUUGUCAACAACUUAUCACCCUCAGACAGUUAGGCAAAUUAAGGUGGUGAAUCGAUGCCUCGAGAUUUACUUAAGAUGCAUGUGUGGAGAUAUACCCCAUUCCUAAUUUUAGUAGUUGAGUUUGGUUGAAUUCUGGUACAAUACAUCUUAUCAUUUUACAAUUCAAAUGACCCCUUUUAAGGCCCUAUAUGGCUUCCCACCUCCACUUCAAACACCAUAUGUCCCUAAUGAUUCCAAUAUGGCAGCUGUGGAUAUCUUUAUAAGGGAUAGGGAGGCAACCAUUGCUUUACUUAAGCAUCAUCUGACUAAGGUCUCUAACAGAAUGAAGCAAUUGGUUGACAGAAGGCGUAUUGAGAGACAAUUCCAAGUUGGGGACUUACUUUUCCUUAAGCUUAAACUGUACAUUCAGUACUCAAUGGUUCACUCUCAUCAUAAGCUCCAUUAGAACUACUAUGGUCCCUUUAAAGUCCUUGAAUGCAUUGAAGCUGUUGCCUAUAGAUUGCAACUUCCCUCAGAUGCUAAGAUCCAUGAUGUGUUUCAUAUUUCACUACUUAAAGCUGCUUGUUCCAAUAUCACAGCUUAAUUUGAGCUUCCUAAUUUUUCAGUUGCAGCCUAUUCUUAUCCUCAGGCUAUUUUGGACAGACGUAUGGUCAAGUACAGAAAUAAGGCUGCUACUCAGUGGCUAAUUCUUUGGCAAAAUACUUCUCCAGCUGAUGCCACCUGGGAGUUUGCUGAGGAGAUUCAAAUCAGAUUUUCAGCCUUCACUCUUUGAGGACAAGGAGCUUUUCGAGGGAGAGCUCAGGCGCCAGCUCAGCUAGCUAUUGAGGAGUCAGUUAGCAAUAUCGGGUUUGUUAUAAUUCUAAGUCGUGAAUCUAUUGUAUGGGCAAAAAAUUGGAGAAUUAGUUUUCAGAUUGACUAUAAGAUUGAUUUCUGUUGUAAAGAGCAGUUACUUCUGAUCUAAUGAAGAAAAUUUCAAU